rnacentral:tRNA from 1 species
CUUUGGGUGGUGGAAAGGGUUAACACACUUGGCUGCCAACCAAAAGGUUGGCAGUUUGAGUUCUCCCACAGA